GUAGGGAAUCUUCCACAAUGGGCGCAAGCCUGAUGGAGCAACACCGCGUGAGUGAAGAAGGGUUUCGGCUCGUAAAGCUCUGUUGUUGGAGAAGAACGUGCGUGAGAGUAACUGUUCACGCAGUGACGGUAUCCAACCAGAAAGUCACGGCUAACUACGUGCCAGCAGCCGCGGUAAUACGUAGGUGGCAAGCGUUGUCCGGAUUUAUUGGGCGUAAAGCGAGCGCAGGCGGUUUCUUAAGUCUGAUGUGAAAGCCCCCGGCUCAACCGGGGAGGGUCAUUGGAAACUGGGAGACUUGAGUGCAGAAGAGGACAGUGGAACUCCAUGUGUAGCGGUGGAAUGCGUAGAUAUAUGGAAGAACACCAGUGGCGAAGGCGGCUGUCUGGUCUGCAACUGACGCUGAGGCUCGAAAGCAUGGGUAGCGAACAGGAUUAGAAACCCUAGUAGUCC
rnacentral:rRNA from 1 species